CGCCAACGCCUGCGUUGGGAUCUUGGGGACCGCGAGGGGAGAGAGGACGAAAAUCCUGUUGGGGAGGAAGGACGCACUCGCAGGCUUGUCUCCUGCCUGCUCCCUGGCGAUCUAGGCUCUAGCCCUUCGGCUCCGCUGCCCGCGGCAGCUCUGGACUCAUCCAGUCUGUCCAGCCUCAAGAAGACGAGCCCAAGGGUCAAAGAUGACCCUCGACCCUCGCUCUCUUCCCGCAACUCGGAUGCGACGUGCCUUGCGCGCCGGGGUUCUUGCCCAAGAACGGAGGCGCCCGGGCGCCCCUGCGCGGAACCACCGGGACCGGGCCUAGGGUCCAGAGCCGGGGCCUCGUGCUCGGUGCCGUGCAGAACGCGGCCGGGCCUGGUCCCAGCGCCGAGCACCACGCGCCCAGGGGCCUGCGGAGCCACCGCGACGCCCGGGACGCGCCAGCGCGGCCGGAGGAGAGAGCUCGGCAGGUGCCCGUCGUUCCUGUGGGUUCGUGGUAGCAGCUGCCCCAGGGGCCGGUCCGGUGGGCGAGGGCCCCGGGUACGCCCCGCUUGAGGCCGGUCCUCUCUGCGCGGGCGCGGCGCUGUGGACCAGGGGACCCAAAGAGCCAGGUAAAAAUAGGAGCUUGGGAGCCGAGCUGGAGCCGGGUUCCGACCCGCGGUCACCCGUGUUGGUGGUUGUGCUGGUCUGGCCUGGGGCAAAGGGAAGGAAGAAAACUCGGCCUCUCCUGCGGGGCUCCGGACAAGCCAAGAGAGCCUCGAGGGUCGACUCUGGGCUCAGCGACCGGCCGCACCUGGCGCUCAGACGACGUUUGUUGACCGAAUAAAUGAACUAAUGUAGGCCUGGAGACGUGUUCGCGCAAAGGACA